rnacentral:rRNA from 1 species
UACGAAGGGGGCUAGCGUUGUUCGGAAUUACUGGGCGUAAAGGGCUCGUAGGUGGCCAACUAAGUCAGACGUGAAAUCCCUCAGCUUAACUGGGGAACUGCGUCUGAUACUGGAUGGCUUGAGUUUGGGAGAGGGAUGCGGAAUUCCAGGUGUAGCGGUGAAAUGCGUAGAUAUCUGGAGGAACACCGGUGGCGAAGGCGGCAUCCUGGACCAACACUGACACUGAGGAGCGAAAGCCAGGGGAGCAAACGGGG